rnacentral:tRNA from 1 species
GGCUCUGUAGCUUAGUUGGUGAAGCGCUUGUCUAGCAUACAAGAGUCCUGGGUUCGAAUCCCAGCCGAGCAC